GAUGAACGCUGGCGGCGUGCCUAAUACAUGCAAGUCGAGCGAACGGACGAGAAGCUUGCUUCUCUGAUGUUAGCGGCGGACGGGUGAGUAACACGUGGAUAACCUACCUAUAAGACUGGGAUAACUUCGGGAAACCGGAGCUAAUACCGGAUAAUAUUUUGAACCGCAUGGUUCAAAAGUGAAAGACGGUCUUGCUGUCACUUAUAGAUGGAUCCGCGCUGCAUUAGCUAGUUGGUAAGGUAACGGCUUACCAAGGCAACGAUGCAUAGCCGACCUGAGAGGGUGAUCGGCCACACUGGAACUGAGACACGGUCCAGACUCCUACGGGAGGCAGCAGUAGGGAAUCUUCCGCGAUGGGCGAAAGCCUGACGGAGCAACGCCGCGUGAGUGAUGAAGGUCUUCGGAUCGUAAAACUCUGUUAUUAGGGAAGAACAUAUGUGUAAGUAACUGUGCACAUCUUGACGGUACCUAAUCAGAAAGCCACGGCUAACUAC
rnacentral:rRNA from 1 species